UACGGAAGGCAGCAGUGGGGAAUAUUGCACAAUGGGCGCAAGCCUGAUGCAGCCAUGCCGCGUGUAUGAAAAAGGCCUUCGGGUUGUAAAGUACUUUCAGUCGUGAGGAAGGUGUUAAGGUUAAUAACCUUAGCAAUUGACGUUAGCGACAGAAGAAGCACCGGCUAACUCCGUGCCAGCAGCCGCGGUAAUACGGAGGGUGCGAGCGUUAAUCGGAAUUACUGGGCGUAAAGGGCACGCAGGCGGUUAAUUAAGUUGGAUGUGAAAUCCCCGGGCUUAACCUGGGAAUGGCAUUCAAGCUGGUUAGCUAGAGUCUUGUAGAGGGGGGUUAGAAUUCCAUGUGUAGCGGUGAAAUGCGUAGAGAUGUGGAGGAAUACCGGUGGCGAAGGCGGCCCCUGGACAAAGACUGACGCUCAUGUGCGAAAGCGUGGGGAGCAAACAGGGAUUAGAUACC
rnacentral:rRNA from 1 species